rnacentral:rRNA from 1 species
UUGAAAGGGAAACGAUUGAAGUCAGUCAUACCAACGGGAAAUCAACCUUUUGAGUUUGUUCUUGUGGGUUUCGAGGAGUUUAAAAGCCUUCGGAUUUGCUAGGAUUGGGCUCUUUUGGUGUACUUUCUCGUACGGUUAGUCAACAUCGGUUUUGAAUGUCAUAAAAUGACUGGAGGAAUGUGGCUUCCAUCUCGUAUCGAAGUGUUAUAGCCUUUGGUAGAUGUGAUGUUCGAGACCGAGGAUUGCAAUGGAUACCCUUCUGGGCUAUUCGUCUGAUCUCUGAUACGUUGCCUUGAUGUCGAAAGCUCGCUUAUGAUGUUAGGGUAUUACGGUCAAAAGGUUAGAACGGAUUAAAUUCGUUAAGGAUGUUGACGUA